rnacentral:rRNA from 2 species
AAAUGACUCUCGGCAACGGAUAUCCCGGCUCUCGCAUCGAUGAAGAACGUAGCGAAAUGCGAUACUUGGUGUGAAUUGCAGAAUCCCGUGAACCAUUGAGUCUUUGAACGCAAGUUGCGCCCGAAGCCACUAGGCUGAGGGCACGUCUGCCUGGGUGUCACGC